rnacentral:siRNA from 1 species
ACCAAUUGGUUUUAGGUGGAGUGG